AACACGAACAUGUAAUAGGAAAAAGGUCACCAUAGAGUAAAAAAGAUGAAGAAAGAUGAUAGAAUGGAGGUCUAAAUUGUAAUCAACUCACCAGCAUCGUCUAGCUACUAGCGAUGGCAGGAUAGCGUGGUUGCGGGCUUUUGCGACCCCGACAGUACUCGCCCUUUCUAAAGCCCGCAGUCCGUCCGGGUGCAUUCAACAAAAUCGAAAUACGGGGAUUUCUUGGGCUCUGGUUUUGCUAUUACUACGGGGAUUUGUAUUGAGUUAUGAGGGGUGAUUACAAGGUUAGAGGUGGCUUAGUUUUUAGGCUUACAUAAAAUUAUUUUGGAAUUUAAUUCCUUGGUUGUGAUGGGUCUGUUCUUGAUUGCCUUGGUUAACAGAGCUUGCGAAGCUCUAAGUAGAGGUUGAGUAGUCCAAAUGCAAUAUUCUUACAGGAAGGCAAAUGCUGCUACUAGUUAGAUUGCUAACUUUUUUCAGGGAGGAUUCGACUGUUAAUGACCCUUUAGAAGGCUUGUAUUAGUUUUUAUACUAGAACUUGAUUCCCUCAUUUAAUUUAAUUUUGAGCUUUAGCCCUAUUUAUAACAAAAAAAAAAUCAAAAUCAAAAUCAAAAUAAGAUCUGUGCGAAUUAUUGUAAUAAACAAGAGGAUAAUAAUUCAAAUGAAGCGUGAAAGAAAAGUUCAAGUUGAAGGCUAGAAAUGCAAUAAACAAGAGGAUAGCUAGACCAAAAGUAAUAAUUCAAAUCAAGGAAAUCCAUAAAAUAACCCUUAAAAUACCCUAUAAAAAACAAAAAAUUUAUAAAAAUAAAUUACAUACAAGGAUAAAUCAAAUACAGCAAUCUAGUUGGCGCCAAAAACAUAUUGGGCGGGCGCCCCAUUUCUUCCUCCCCCCUCUCCCUAUCUAUCAAUCGCACGGUACCUAACUCUUACCCUCAGUGCAGAUCCCCCAAACUCUUGAAUCUCAGCUCAGGUUGCCGAGCUAGAGCUACGACCGAUCAGUCGACGACUAGACUGAAUCCGUGUUCGAAUCUCAGGGCUUUGCAUUCUAGGCUCUAGGAUAGCAGUGAGGAAAGAACAAUUUCAAGUGAAUUGGAUGAUGUUAACUUUGGUAGUAUGACACUGAAGCAAAUUCAGGAGAUAUGCGAAGCAAAGAAAAGGAAACCUGGAAUGUUCAGGGAUGUCCUCAUUCAAAGCUACAACAUCUUCCUGAAAGGCUCCUUUCAAACUGGAAGGCAAUUUCUCCAGCAUCUCAGAAAAAAUUGUGCAAGGCUAUGGAGUCUAGUGACUUAGGUGAUGAAGAUUAUUACAAGUAUGCUAGGAAAUUAUGCUACAGGAAUUUGAAUGAAAAUAAGAUCGGUAGGCUUGGAAGAGCCUAUCAGAACCGGAUAUUUGAUCUCACUAUUAGCCCUGAGCGGAUCAUCAGGAAACUGAAAAGGCGGAUCAUCAGGAAACUGAAAAGUGAGGAAUAUGGUUUCCAUUAUAAAGACAUUCUAAAGGUUCCUCAUCCUUCUCGAACUAUACCGUGUUUUGCCACUGGGAGCCCUCUGUCCAAAGUUGUUCAGAGACUGCCAUUUCAUUUCACAGAAGCAAAUGCGUGAUAUUGAAUCUAUUACAACUAAACUUACAAAAGAGGUGAACUCCGUGAAGGACAUUGUUCAAGAAACAUGCCAGUCCAAGGUCUAUCCAGCUAUGCCCUUGAAACACAGGGCAGACGAGGUGAAUUCAAAAUGCAACUAGAGUGGAAGAAAUUAAGUGCAAGAAGAUGGCUUUCCAUCAUGGCAAGGGAUUGUAACCGAUUUUGUAAAAUCAUGA